AACAUUUCCAAAAUCCCGCCACCAUAUUCAUCUCACGAUCAGCUGCAAAAAUCCCUUAGAAAACAUAUUGAAUCCUUCUUUUAGAUAUUAUAGAUUGAAUCUAAAAUACGACAAAAUGACGAAACAAGCCACCAGUUGAGUGCCACCAAGAGGGCUUGCAAGAGCGCGGCGGAGGUGGGGAACCUAUAGGAGGAGGCACGGUGGGCCAACGUGAUUGGCGAGAUACUGAGGAACAGCGGUGAGUAAUGGCUACGUGUUGAUUUCGAUGUCUCCGUCAAGUACUUGUGCUUCUGACGUCUCAGUCCCUCGGCGAAGUCUAUCUCCGCCUUCAGCACUACCGGGACGCCCUUAUAUAUCAGGACCUAUCAUUAGGAAAGACUAUUGGCAUUGUUAAAGAGUGUGGGGGCUUUAGUACUUUGACGAAACUGAUAGAUUCCCAAAAAUAUCCAGAAAGCAUUGGAAACUCCUAAGUGGAAGGAAGCAGUAAUGGAAGAAAUAAGAGCACUGGAGACAAAUGGAACUUGGGAUGUAGUGGAACUAUGAAAAGGUAAGAGACCAGUUGGUUGCAAAUGGGUGUUUAAUGUGAAAUUUAAAGCAAAUGGGACUAUAGAACGGUAUAAAGCUCGUCUGGUUGCAAAGGGAUAUACUCAGGCCUAUGGCAUAGACUACACAGAAACGUUCGCACUUGUGGCCAAAUUGAAUAUAAUUCGGGUCUUCCUAUCACUAGUAGCAAACUAGAUUGGUCAUUACAACCAGUUGACAUUAAGAAUGUAUUUCUGAAUGGGGAGUUGGAAGAAGUCUACAUGAUACUACCGCCUGGUUUCGACAAGAAAGAAGAAGAAAAGAAGGUAUGAAAACUAAAAAAGUCUCCGUACAGCCUCAAGUAGUCACUGAGAGCGUGAUUUGAUAAAUUUUCAAAUGUAUUGAAAAGUUAAGGAUAUCAACAGGGGUAGUCGGAUGACACUAUAUUCUUCAGAAUAUUUGAAGAUGGGACAAAGAUUAUUUUGAUUGUAUAUGUUGAUGACAUAGUCCUUACUAGAGAUAACACAGUCGAGAUUGAGAGGCUAAAAAAGGGUCUAGCCACCGAAUUUGAAGUGAAUGAUAUGGGACAAAUGCGGUACUUCCUAGGAAUGGAGACAGCCAGAUCAAAGAAGGACAUUAGUGUUUCACAACGAAAAUAUAUUUUGGACCUGUUAAUCGAAAUUGGCAUGCUUGGGUGUAAACCAAGUGACACUCUUAUGGAUACUGGAAGGAAAACAGACAUGGGAGAACUCGUAGAAAAGGACAGAUAUCAGCGACUAGUUGGGAAAUAAUUUUUCCUUUUCUUAGAUAGGAGAUUACUUUCUUUUUCUCCUCCACUUUAUUGUAUUAUAUAUUGAACCUUUGCAUUGUAAGAACACGAGAAAUAUAAAAUUGAGCAUUUUCUAAUCCGGUCUUCACUAUACCACACGACUUUAGUUCUAUGAAUGAGAACUCAAACUCUUUACAAAAAGAUCUCAAUCAGACCGAAUCUUUGUUCAAGGUGCUUCGACAAGAUGAGGUGCAAAAUGUUCAACAAGAGUCGUCUGCAGUAAAUACGAAAGAGAACCAGCUUGACUUUGCUAACAGUGAAGAUGAUCUAGUUGGGGUAGAAGCUAAAUUAUCUGGUUUGGAAGAUAGUCGGAUUAGCUCGCCCCAAAAGUAAACUUUACUUUCAGAAUGGCAGUUCAUGCAAGAACUUGUUGCUGCUAUUAAAAUGGCUGGACAACUAUAACUAUUGGAUCUUAGUCAAAUUGGGUUCUCUCUGGAAGUUGCGGAAUUGUUAUAUAUUUCCUGGUCAUCAUGUGCAAGAACCGGUGUGGUUCAACGACACAUUGAAGGAAAUACGAUUCAUUUGUCAGUUAAUGGGAAAAAGUGCUGCAGCAUUAAGUCCUGCUGUAGAAGGAUUUAAGUUAUAGUAAAAUAUGUCAAAGAAAACUAGGGUUCACCAAUUCAUUCUAUUGGUUUCAAAAGAACUUUGUACGAGAUUUAGGAAACCAGAAGAAGAGUUGAAACAAAUGAGAGAUUAAUGUAAUUUUCACUAUUUUUUG